rnacentral:lncRNA from 1 species
GUUGCUGUGGGGCUCCAGGCACAUGAGUGUCAGGGGCAUAAUUAGGUCACACAUCUGGGACCAGAUGCCAGUUGCUCCGCUGGCCCCAAGAUCACCACUGCAGAGAAUUACCUUUUCCUUUCAUGUUUCAGAUACAGUGGCUCCAGAUUCUGUCCCAGGUGCAACGUGAGGCAGGGGCCCAUGAGGAGGCUCAGCGGUGCUCGGUGCUUGUGCUGGAGGACGGAUGGCUCAGGCCUGAGAUGACACAGGGCUGCGGGGAGGAAGUGUGCACGAGAACCACUUGCUUUACUCUGCACUCUGGGAUCAUGUUCUGAGCUGAAGGCAGAUUCUUAACCUACUGAGCCACCCAGGUACCCCAAUUUUCUCUCUGAUUUUCUAUUCUCUAUAUUAUUUCUCUAUGCCCACUUUUCAUUUACUCUCUUCUGCUAGCUUUGGGUUUAGUUUGCUUUCCUGUAAUUCCUCAACAUAUGAAGACAGGUUAUUGAUUUAAGAUCUUUUGUAGAAACUUGCCCUGGGCGUGAAGGCAGUGCUAAAGCGCUGAGCCACCCGGGCUGCCCUAAGGCUCCAACUCUUAACAUAGAAAUAUUACUCCCUUCAAUUCUGUCAACUUUUACACACACUGUCACUCUGGGGUGACUGUGGUCUUAGCAGGGCUCUCUUCCUCUCUGAGCAACAAAGCUGAUAAAAUAAAGGCCAGUAUUCCUGUAUUGUUUUCAAAAGUGCCCAGGGUUAUAAAAUGAUCUAGAUUAAUGCAUUCAAAUUUGGACUCUUUUGAAAGGAUAGUUCAGGGAGACAGUAUUUAAUACUUUUUCUGAUCCUAUCUCCUUGCCCUCCUUCACAGCACUUGGGGUCCAUUGCAGCUGGGAAACCAGGGCUGGGUGACUUUCAGUAUUUGUAAGCAUCUCAACAGAACAAUAAAGCAUUUGGAGUACAUAUUUGGGAAGCCAGGUUGCAUGGGGUAUGGGGCUGUGUCCCCACAGAACAGGAUUUCCUCCUUAUUAAUGUUCUAGGAGGGAAACAGGUCCAACCCGUGACUUCUGGGUCCUUCCCCUGAUCCCACUCCCA